rnacentral:lncRNA from 1 species
AUGGAGAAUUUAGUCAACAUUACACACAAGAUUGGUAAAGAAAUAUUACAUGAGCAUGGAGAUACAUUAAUCCACAAACUAUAUCCCGCAAGUAUCUCCUAGCAGUCUCUUCACGCAAGGCACAAGCUCGACCUGAAGCCUCACAAACCCAUUUGUCUUCCACAUAUUCAAUACCCAUGUAGAAGUUAUCCGAUUCUGGGUCAUC